rnacentral:rRNA from 1 species
GUGUCAGCAGCCGCGGUAAUACGUAGGUGGCGAGCGUUGUCCGGAAUUACUGGGUGUAAAGGGCGUGUAGGCGGGGAUGCAAGUCAGAUGUGAAAUACCGCGGCUUAACCGCGGGGCUGCAUCUGAAACUGUGUCUCUUGAGUGUCGGAGAGGAAAGCGGAAUUCCCAGUGUAGCGGUGAGAUGCGUAGAUAUUAGGAGGAACACCAGUGGCGAAGGCGGCUUUCUGGACAGUAACUGACGCUGAGGCGCGAAAGCGUGGGGAGCAAACAGGAUUAGACACCCUGGUAGUCCACGCCGUAAACGAUGGAUACUAGGUGUAGGAGGUAUCGACCCCCUCUGUGCCGGAGUUAACACAAUAAGUAUCCCACCUGGGGAGUACGGCCGCAAGGUUGAAACUCAAAGAAAUUGGCGG